UACGUAGGGGGCUAGCGUUGUCCGGAAUCAUUGGGCGUAAAGCGCGUGUAGGCGGCCCGGUAAGUCCGUUGUGAAAACUCGAGGCUCAACCUCGAGACGCCGAUGGAAACCCUCCAGCUAGAGUCCGGAAGAGGAGAGUGGAAUUCCUGGUGUAGCGGUGAAAUGCGCAGAUAUCAGGAAGAACACCCGUGGCUAAGGCGGCUCUCUAGUACGGUACUGACGCUGAGACGCGAAAGCGUGGGGAGCGAACAGG
rnacentral:rRNA from 1 species